AUUUGUAGUUGAUUGAUUGCUCUUCUAAGCAAGGAGAGAUGGAAUCUGAAGGAGAGACUGGGACGGGUUGAAGAAAGGUGUGUUACAUGCCGAUGGACAGAACUUUAUGGGGAAACUUUCAGAUGAGCAAACAGGUAGAAUCUUGAAGCUGUGGUGCCAAAAACUGAUGGAACGGAAAGCGAUUAUUGAUGGAGUUAUGGCUGGACACUUACGUCUAGAGAACGUUUGAA